UUUUCUUUGUCUUGUUGCAAAAUAGUAUUGGCCUGUUGUAGUAGUUCCUGCAUAUUUUGAUAUUGUUCUCUAUGUACCUGCAAAACGAGCAAACGAUAUAGUUAAAGAAUCAAUGAGGUUGUUCCCUUCUCUGAGGACAUGAGCCACCUCAACCCCAUGACUCCUUAUCAUUGUCUGAUAUCCCAAGAUAUCUGCCAUGGAACCUCCCAUACUCCAUGUAUAACUUUCAAAGCCAC
rnacentral:lncRNA from 1 species